rnacentral:rRNA from 1 species
GACGGACGCUGGCGGCGUGCUUAACACAUGCAAGUCGAACGAUGAACCCGGAGCUUGCGCCGGUGGAUUAGUGGCGAACGGGUGAGUAACACGUGAGUAACCUGCCCUUGACUCUGGGAUAACUGCGGGAAACUGUAGCUAAUACCGGAUACGACCCUCGGCUGCAUCGCCCGGGGGUGGAAAGAGAUUCGGUCAAGGAUGGACUCGCGGCCUAUCAGCUAGUUGGUGAGGUAACGGCUCAGCAAGGCGACGGCGGGUACUCGGCCUGGCAGAGUGAGCGGCCACAUUGGGACUGAGACACGGCCCAGACUCCUACGGGAGGCAGGAGUGGGGAAUAUUGCACAAUGGGCGCAAGCCUGAUGCAGCAACGCCGCGUGAGGGAUGACUGCCUUCGGGUUGUAAACCUCUUUUAGUAGGGAAGAAGCGAAAGUGACGGUACCUGCAGAAAAAGCACCGGCUAACUACGUGCCAGCCGCCGCCGUAA